rnacentral:rRNA from 1 species
GAUUGAACGCUGGCGGUAUGCUUAACACAUGCAAGUCGAACGGAAACGAUACUAGCUUGCUAGUAGGCGUCGAGUGGCGGACGGGUGAGUAACGCGUAGGAAUCUGCCUGAUAGUGGGGGAUAGCCCGAAGAAAUUCGGAUUAAUACCGCAUAAUCUAUUCGUAGUAAAGUGGGGGACUUUCGAGCCUCACGCUAUCAGAUGAGCCUGCGUAAGAUUAGCUUGUUGGUAGGGUAAAAGCCUACCAAGGCGACGAUCUUUAGCUGGUCUGAGAGGAUGAUCAGCCACAUCGGGACUGAGACACGGCCCGAACUCCUACGGGAGGCAGCAGUGGGGAAUAUUGGACAAUGGGGGCAACCCUGAUCCAGCAAUACCGCGUGUGUGAAGAAGGCCUGAGGGUUGUAAAGCACUUUCAAUUGUGAAGAAAAGUUAGCGGUUAAUAACCGUUAGCCUUGACGUUAACUUUAGAAGAAGCACCGGCUAACUCCGUGCCAGCAGCCGCGGUAAUACGGAGGGUGCAAGCGUUAAUCGGAAUUACUGGGCGUAAAGCGUGCGUAGGCGGUUUAUUAAGUCAGAUGUGAAAGCCCCGGGCUUAACCUGGGAACUGCAUUUGAAACUGGUCAACUAGAGUAUGGUAGAGGAAAGUGGAAUUUCUGGUGUAGCGGUGAAAUGCGUAGAUAUCAGAAGGAACAUCAAUGGCGAAGGCAGCUUUCUGGACCAAUACUGACGCUGAGGUACGAAAGCGUGGGUAGCAAACAGGAUUAGAUACCCUGGUAGUCCACGCCGUAAACGAUGAUAACUAGCCGUUGGGGGGAUUUACCCUUUAGUGGCGAAGCUAACGCGUUAAGUUAUCCGCCUGGGGAGUACGGCCGCAAGGUUAAAACUCAAAGGAAUUGACGGGGACCCGCACAAGCGGUGGAGCAUGUGGUUUAAUUCGAUGCAACGCGAAGAACCUUACCUGGUCUUGACAUCCUGCGAACUUUCUAGAAAUAGAUUGGUGCCUUCGGGAACGCAGUGACAGGUGCUGCAUGGCUGUCGUCAGCUCGUGUCGUGAGAUGUUGGGUUAAGUCCCGUAACGAGCGCAACCCCUAUCCUUAUUUGCCAGCACAUCAUGGUGGGAACUAUAAGGAGACUGCCGGUGAUAAACCGGAGGAAGGCGGGGACGACGUCAAGUCAUCAUGGCCCUUACGACCAGGGCUACACACGUGCUACAAUGGGAAGGACAAAGAGCCGCGAAGCCGCGAGGUGUAGCUAAUCUCAUAAACCUUUUCGUAGUCCGGAUUGGAGUCUGCAACUCGACUCCAUGAAGUCGGAAUCGCUAGUAAUCGUAGAUCAGAAUGCUACGGUGAAUACGUUCCCGGGUCUUGUACUCACC